CCCAAUUCCUUCUGGUGUUCAUGCGAUGGCUGGAAGAAUCCUAAUGGAAUUUGAAAAUAUUGCUGCAGAUGGAUAGGUAAAUCAACUAGCUCAAUUUCUUGUUGGACAUGAACAAGCUCCCUCAGGUAUAGAAGAUCUCACAGAGGAUCUGCACCAUCAGGACAAUUUUCAUGUUCCAGCUAGAAUGCUCGUCGCUGCUGACACCAGACAAAUUUCGGAAUGCCAAUUCUAUGGAGAAACAACAGAGGAUUGCCGGAUGAUAGGAACCCUUCCCUGCUGAUGCACUACAUCACCCCU